CGGGGCAGGCUAGAAGUGUGGUAGGGGAGAUCGGAAUUCCCUGGUGUAGCGGUGAAAUGCGCAGAUAUCAGGAGGAACACCGGUGGCGAAGGGCGGAUCUCUGGGGCCAUUACUGACGCUGAGGAGCGAAAAGCGUGGGGAGCGAAACAGGAUUAAGAUACCCCUGGGUAGUCCCACGCCCGUAAAACGGUGGGAAACUAGGGUGUUGGGCGAACAUUUCCACCGUUCGUUCGGUGCCCGCAGCUAAACGCAUUAAGUUCCCCGCCCUGGGGAGUACCGGCCGCAAGGCUAAAACUCAAAAGGAAUUGAACGGGGGCCCGCACAAGGGCAGCGGAGGGCAUGUGGCUUAAUUCGACCGCAACCGCGAAGAACCCUUACCCAAGGCUUGACAUAACGCCGGAAAGCAUCAGAGAUGGUGCCCCCCCUUGUGGUCCGGUGUAUCAGGUGGUGCAUGGCUGU
rnacentral:rRNA from 1 species